CGUCGUCGUCGUCGUCGUCGUCGUCUGGCGCCCAGAGAUUUCUCACCAGCUCGAAGGUAGCCGGGUCCGCCGUAAGCGUAUAACUAACGCUUGAUGUGAUGCGAACUCGACGUCUCAAAUGGUGCACGAACGGUCCGGCAGAAAAACGAUCGUUGAUCGGGACACCUGUCGCCUUGACCUACGCGAUGUAAUUUAAUGGAGACUGUGUCGAUCGUGGAGGGUGAGAUGUAAUGAGCAUUUUUGAUUACCGUCCUUUUAAUCGUCGGUCGAUUCCGUUUAUUCGGAAGCCACAUCAUACCGUUACGUACGCGAUACUUAAAAAUGUACGAUCGUUCGAUCGAAGCGAUUUUGAUAGGAGAAAAAAACAAAAAAAAAAAACACGAUUUCUACAAACGAAAUGAAAAAUUCUCGACGAUCGGUAUGCAGAGGUUUACGUAUAUGUAACUUAUUACCUGCAUAGGUGUGUAAAUGGGGAGGAUCUAUUAUACCGUACACACCGUAUAACGUACGUGAAUGCUAUUGGGCAACAGUAUGCGGUCGGAACGAACUGGGCCAAUUAAAAUUGCGGAAAGCUGAUAUAUCGCACACGGUUCACAAUCGUCCGUCCGUCUCUCGGGGAGAAAAAAAGAGAGGGGAAAAAAAGGAGAGAGAGAGAGAGAGA